rnacentral:rRNA from 1 species
UAGAGAAUCUUCCACAAUGGGCGAAAGCCUGAUGGAGCAACGCCGCGUGUGUGAUGAAGGGUUUCGGCUCGUAAAACACUGUUGUAAGAGAAGAAUGACAUUGAGAGUAACUGUUCAAUGUGUGACGGUAUCUUACCAGAAAGGAACGGCUAAAUACGUGCCAA